CGGAGGGUGCAAACGUUGCUCGGAAUCAUUGGGCGUAAAGCGCAUGUAGGCGGUCGGCUAUGUCGGAUGUGAAAGCCUCGGGCUUAACCCGAGAAGUGCAUCCGAAACUGGCCGGCUUGAGUACGGAAGAGGGUCUCGGAAUUCCCGGUGUAGAGGUGAAAUCCGUAGAUAUCGGGAGGAACACCAGUGGCGAAGGCGGAGACCUGGGCCGAUACUGACGCUGAGAUGCGAAAGCGUGGGGAGCAAACAGGAUUAGAUACCCUGGUAGUCCACGCCGUAAACGAUGAGCGCUAGGUGUUGGGGGUAUUCGACCCCCCCAGUAUCGCAGCUAACGCGUUAAGCGCUCCGCCUGGGGAGUACGGCCGCAAGGCU
rnacentral:rRNA from 1 species